GCCAGGUGCGGUGGUACACCCCUGUAAUCCCAUCAGCUUGGGAGGCUGAGGCAGGAGGAUUGCGAGUUCAAAGCCAGCCUCAGCAAAAGCGAGGUGCUAAGUAACUCAGUGAGACCCUGUCUCUA
rnacentral:sRNA from 1 species